UGGGGAAUAUUGCACAAUGGGCGCAAGCCUGAUGCAGCCAUGCCGCGUGUAUGAAGAAGGCCUUCGGGUUGUAAAGUACUUUCAGUCGGGAGGAAGGUGGUAAGGUUAAUAACCUUGGCAAUUGACGUUACCGACAGAAGAAGCACCGGCUAACUCCGUGCCAGCAGCCGCGGUAAUACGGAGGGUGCAAGCGUUAAUCGGAAUUACUGGGCGUAAAGCGCACGCAGGCGGUUGAUUGAGUCAGAUGCGAAAUCCCCGGGCUUAACCCGGGAAUUGCAUCUGAUACUGGUCAGCUAGAGUCUUGUAGAGGGGGGUAGAAUUCCAUGUGUAGCGGUGAAAUGCGUAGAGAUGUGGAGGAAUACCGGUGGCGAAGGCGGCCCCCUGGACAAAGACUGACGCUCAGGUGCGAAAGCGUGGGGAGCAAACAGG
rnacentral:rRNA from 1 species